rnacentral:rRNA from 1 species
CCUACGGGAGGCAGCAGUGGGGAAUAUUGGACAAUGGGGGGAACCCUGAUCCAGCCAUGCCGCGUGUGUGAAGAAGGCCCUCGGGUUGUAAAGCACUUUCAGUGAGGAAGAACGCCUGGUGGUUAAUACCCAUCAGGAAAGACAUCACUCACAGAAGAAGCACCGGCUAACUCCGUGCCAGCAGCCGCGGUAAUACGGAGGGUGCGAGCGUUAAUCGGAAUUACUGGGCGUAAAGCGCGCGUAGGUGGCUUGAUAAGCCGGUUGUGAAAGCCCCGGGCUCAACCUGGGAACGGCAUCCGGAACUGUCAAGCUAGAGUGCAGGAGAGGAAGGUAGAAUUCCCGGUGUAGCGGUGAAAUGCGUAGAGAUCGGGAGGAAUACCAGUGGCGAAGGCGGCCUUCUGGACUGACUCUGACACUGAGGUGCGAAAGCGUGGGUAGCAAACAGGAUUAGAUACCCCAGUAGUC